ACAGUGGACGCGAGCAUCUGUGGCCAAGUUUUUAAGGGCGCACGGUGGAUGCCUUGGCACCAGGAACCGAUGAAGGACGUGGGAGGCCACGAUAGUCCCCGGGGAGCCGUCAACCAGGCUUUGAUCCGGGGGUUUCCGAAUGGGGAAACCCGGCAGUCGUCAUGGGCUGUCACCCGCUGCUGAACACAUAGGCAGUGUGGAGGGAACGCGGGGAAGUGAAACAUCUCAGUACCCGCAGGAAGAGAAAACAACCGUGAUUCCGGGAGUAGUGGCGAGCGAAACCGGAUGAGGCCAAACCGUAUACGUGUGAGACCCGGCAGGGGUUGCGUGUGCGGGGUUGUGGGAUCUCUCUUUCACAGUCUGCCGGCUGUGAGGCGAGUCAGAAACCGUUGAUGUAGGCGAAGGACAUGCGAAAGGUCCGGCGUAGAGGGUAAGACCCCCGUAGUCGAAACAUCAGCGGCUCGUUUGAGAGACACCCAAGUAGCACGGGGCCCGAGAAAUCCCGUGUGAAUCUGGCGGGACCACCCGCUAAGCCUAAAUAUUCCCUGGUGACCGAUAGCGGAUAGUACCGUGAGGGAAUGGUGAAAAGUACCGCGGGAGCGGAGUGAAAUAGUACCUGAAACCGUGUGCCUACAAGCCGUGGGAGCGUCGGACAUCAAGCUUGCUUGGUGUCUCGUGACUGCGUGCCUUUUGAAGAAUGAGCCUGCGAGUUUGCGGUGUGUUGCGAGGUUAACCCGAGUGGGGAAGCCGUAGCGAAAGCGAGUCCGAAUAGGGCGUUUCAGUAGCACGCUCAAGACCCGAAGCGGAGUGAUCUAGCCAUGGGCAGGUUGAAGCGGAGGUAAGACUUCGUGGAGGACCGAACCCACCAGGGUUGAAAACCUGGGGGAUGACCUGUGGUUAGGGGUGAAAGGCCAAUCAAACUCCGUGAUAGCUGGUUCUCCCCGAAAUGCAUUUAGGUGCAGCGUCGUGUGUUUCUUGCCGGAGGUAGAGCACUGGAUAGGCGAUGGGCCCUACCGGGUUACUGACCUUAGCCAAACUCCGAAUGCCGGUAAGUGAGAGCGCGGCAGUGAGACUGUGGGGGAUAAGCUCCAUGGUCGAGAGGGAAACAGCCCAGAGCAUCGACUAAGGCCCCUAAGCGUACGCUAAGUGGGAAAGGAUGUGGAGUCGCACAGACAACCAGGAGGUUGGCUUAGAAGCAGCCACCCUUGAAAGAGUGCGUAAUAGCUCACUGGUCUAGUGAUUCCGCGCCGACAAUGUAGCGGGGCUCAAGCGUACCGCCGAAGUCGUGUCAUUCAUACAAUAGGGCCAACGCCUGUAUGGAUGGGUAGGGGAGCGUCGUGUGCCGGGUGAAGCAGCCGCGGAAGCGAGUUGUGGACGGUUCACGAGUGAGAAUGCAGGCAUGAGUAGCGAUACAAACGUGAGAAACGUUUGCGCCGAUUGACUAAGGGUUCCUGGGUCAAGCUGAUCUGCCCAGGGUAAGUCGGGACCUAAGGCGAGGCCGACAGGCGUAGUCGAUGGAUAACCGGUUGAUAUUCCGGUACCCGCUGUGAAGCGUCAAACAUCGAGCAUCGUGAUGCUAAGGCCGUGAAGCCGCCCUGAUCUCUUCGGAGUUGAGGGGAGUGGUGGAGCCGCCGGACCAAGCGGUUAGUAGGUGAGUGAUGGGGUGACGCAGGAAGGUAGUCCAUCCCGGGCGGUGGUUGUCCCGGGGUAAGGGUGUAGGCCGUGCGGUAGGUAAAUCCGUCGCACACAAGGCUGAGACCUGAUGCCGAGCCGAUUGUGGUGAAGUGGAUGAUCCUAUGCUGUCGAGAAAAGCCUCUAGCGAGUUUCAUGGCGGCCCGUACCCUAAACCGACUCAGGUGGUCAGGUAGAGAAUACCGAGGCGUUCGGGUGAACUAUGGUUAAGGAACUCGGCAAAAUGCCCCCGUAACUUCGGGAGAAGGGGGGCCACACCUGGUGAUGAUCUUUACGGUCUGAGCUGGGGGUGGCCGCAGAGACCAGCGAGAAGCGACUGUUUACUAAAAACACAGGUCCGUGCGAAGCCGUAAGGCGAUGUAUACGGACUGACGCCUGCCCGGUGCUGGAACGUUAAGGGGACCGGUUAGCUCCAUUUCGGUGGGGCGAAGCUGAGAACUUAAGCGCCAGUAAACGGCGGUGGUAACUAUAACCAUCCUAAGGUAGCGAAAUUCCUUGUCGGGUAAGUUCCGACCUGCACGAAUGGCGUAACGACUUCUCGACUGUCUCAACCAUAGGCCCGGUGAAAUUGCACUACGAGUAAAGAUGCUCGUUUCGCGCAGCAGGACGGAAAGACCCCGGGACCUUUACUACAGUUUGAUAUUGGUGUUCGGUUCGGCUUGUGUAGGAUAGCUGGGAGACUUUGAAGCUCGCACGCCAGUGUGGGUGGAGUCGUCGUUGAAAUACCAGUCUGGUCGUGCUGGAUGUCUAACCUGGGUCCGUGAUCCGGAUCAGGGACAGUGUCUGAUGGGUAGUUUAACUGGGGCGGUUGCCUCCUAAAGAGUAACGGAGGCGCCCAAAGGUUCCCUCAGCCUGGUUGGCAAUCAGGUGUUGAGUGUAAGUGCACAAGGGAGCUUGACUGUGAGACCGACGGGUCGAGCAGGGACGAAAGUCGGGACUAGUGAUCCGGCGGUGGCUUGUGGAAGCGCCGUCGCUCAACGGAUAAAAGGUACCCCGGGGAUAACAGGCUGAUCUUCCCCAAGAGUCCAUAUCGACGGGAUGGUUUGGCACCUCGAUGUCGGCUCGUCGCAUCCUGGGGCUGGAGUCGGUCCCAAGGGUUGGGCUGUUCGCCCAUUAAAGCGGUACGCGAGCUGGGUUUAGAACGUCGUGAGACAGUUCGGUCCCUAUCCGCUGUGCGCGUAGGAGUCUUGAGAAGGGCUGUCCCUAGUACGAGAGGACCGGGACGGACGAACCUCUGGUGUGCCAGUUGUCCUGCCAAGGGCAUGGCUGGUUGGCUACGUUCGGGAGGGAUAACCGCUGAAAGCAUCUAAGCGGGAAGCCUGCUUCGAGAUGAGGACUCCCACCCCCUUGAGGGGUUAAGGCUCCCAGUAGACGACUGGGUUGAUAGGCCGGAUCUGGAAGCACCGCAAGGUGUGGAGGUGACCGGUACUAAUAGGCCGAGGGCUUGUCCUCAGUUG
rnacentral:rRNA from 1 species